rnacentral:snoRNA from 1 species
CUCCCCAGCCCCUCUGCUACUCUUCUUUGGUAGCAAGUUGUACUAUUUCUCUGAGGGGAAGAUACUGUUACACUAUUUAUAUUGCUCUCUUUUAGUACAACAGAAAGAGGGUGUAUGUAUAACAAGGUGGG